GACGAACGCUGGCGGCGUGCUUAACACAUGCAAGUCGAACGGAAAGGCCCUGCUUUUGUGGGGUGCUCGAGUGGCGAACGGGUGAGUAACACGUGAGUAACCUGCCCUUGACUUUGGGGUAACUUCAGGAAACUGGGGCUAAUACCGGAUAGGAGCUCCUGCUGCAUGGUGGGGGUGGGAAAGUUUAGGCGGUUGGGGAUGGACUCGCGGCUGAUCAGCUUGUUGGUGGGGUAGUGGCUGACCAAGGCUUUGACGGGGAGCCGGCCUGAGAGGGUGACCGGUCACAUUGGGACUGAGAUACGGCCCAGACUCCUACGGGAGGCAGCAGUGGGGAAUAUUGCACAAUGGGCGGAAGCCUGAUGCAGCAACGCCGCGUGCGGGAUGACGGCCUGCGGGUUGUAAACCGCUUUCGCCUGUGACGAAGCGUGAGUGACGGUAAUGGGUAAAGAAGCACCGGCUAACUACGUG
rnacentral:rRNA from 1 species